rnacentral:rRNA from 1 species
GAUGAACGCUAGCGGGAGGCUUAAUACAUGCAAGUCGAGCGGUAGAUUGACUUCGGUUGAUUGAGAGCGGUGCACGGGUGAGUAACGCGUACGUGACCUGCCCUUAAGAGGGGGAUAGCCCUGGGAAACUGGGAGUAAUCCGCCAUGUGUUUGUGAAGCUGCAUGGUUUUACAAAUAAAGCUGAGGCGCUUAAGGAUGGGCGUGCGUCUGAUUAGGUAGUUGGCAGGGUAACGGCCUACCAAGCCUACGAUCAGUAGGGGGCGUGAGAGCGUGGCCCCCCACACGGUACGUGAGACACGGACCCGACUCCUACGGGAGGCAGCAGUAAGGAAUAUUGGUUCGAAUAGGAGGGCAACUACUGAACC